rnacentral:rRNA from 1 species
UUUGGAAGUAAAAGUGGUACCAAGGUUUCCGUAGGUGAACUUGCGGAAGGAUCAUUA